UGGAUGCUGCAUAACCCCAGGAUGCACUCUGGCUGAUUACCAUUUGCAUAGAGAAUCGAGUCGAGCCAAUUGGAAUAAUCAACGUGGCUACGAGCAGAAGUCAUACCAGUGUUACAUAAAGGGCAUAUGGAAGCGCGUUAUCGGGGCAAUACAAUUUUGUAUCGGACUAAGAGAUAAUCGAGAUUCAAAAAUUCGCCAAGACGUUAUUGUGCAAAAUAUAUUUUUUAAGGUCACAGGGUGCGCGUGCCCAAUUUUCAAACGGUUGGUCAAUUCGCGAAACUGGCCCAAGGCAGCUUGCGUGGAAGUAAGCCGAAGACGGAGUACGGUCCGUUGGUUUGGUCUGGUUCAAACCCGAGCUCUACCGUUACGCGUACCAGCAAUAAAUAACACGUUGAGCAAGAUCCACUGGUAUACAGUUGAUAUGGACGAUAAAGCAAUGCAGGAUUGAAAUAACGAAAAUAAUUUAUCACCGAUUCCAAGAGUAUGCACAAAUUUUGCCAUGCUUUACGUCUAGGCCUAUUCGGACCAACGGCACUACCUGAAGUUAGUCGUAUGAUCGUCCACGGGAGAGCCAACUUCAGUCGGUACGUCUGAACUGAGUAAUCUCGUAUGUUUUUCUGUCCGAUAGACAAAGAUGGCCGCUCACGUUGAAUCAACCAGCAGAAGAAUGCCCGAUGAAAUUUUUAUCUUUGACUUCAAAAACCUGCCGCUUUAUGAUAGAUGCGCGAGUCUAUCCAUUCGGUCAUUUACCUAUCGCUGUUAAAUCCAUAUGGAUGGAUAAUAUGAAUUUUUUUUUAAUAACAUAUUUUCCUCACACGCAGCUUUUCUCCCGCGAUACCGUACAUUCGUUUAUGGACAUACUGAUAUAUCGUGUGUCUAUUUAUUUUUGACUUUUUUUUUUCGUAUUUUUUAUCGCAGGACAUUUGGAUUCUCGUCUGCUUGAAAUUUCUUAACAGAUACAAGAGAAAGAAGCUUACGCCACUGGUUGGACGAUAAGGUCUCGAAGAUGUUGUCGUAGAUAGGAGUCAGGCGUAUCUUUAUUACCCCUCACGAGCUAGGUUGCUCAAGUUGAUGUUAAUUGCCAUUUUAUCUUACUCAGACAUGCAAUAUUUCGAAAAACUAAUCCGCACGAACUUUACGGUCGUUGGGCCUGAGCGACGAAGACGAGGGUCGGGUGCGGUGAGGCAGGCGGAUAGAGGAAAAUUUUGGUGUCUUAAACGUAUGUGGGAACGAUUACGUUUUUUUCGAAAUCUCUUGAUUACCUGGUUCCCAGCAUUGCGUGGCGCAAGUCGAUUGACGUAUAUGGAUUAAGGAACAAAGAGGAGGACUAGGCAUUUACGUAAGUUCAAUUAGUGCCCAAUUAAGCAAAAGCCGUAAGUACAUAUUUAGGUAGAUCAAAAAGUUAAAUUCUUAUUAAAGUCGUUUACAAAAUUUUUGUCACGUUCUUUUACAUCUGCUUCACGAACUAUGAACGAUCUAGAGUAUUUACAAUAUUUAAAUAUAAACAAAAUUUUAGGGAUCAAAGUCACAAAUUUGUUGCACUACUAAUCGAUAAUACGUAUCAAAAAUCAAUAUCUCUCAGCCAAUGUCCACCGGACGAAAGUAAUGAAUACGAUACAAAAAUUUUUAAAUUUGCCUGUAUACCCAUUUUCUACAAUAAGAUCGAAUUGAAUUUUCAUCAAAAGACACCAACCUCAGGACCAAUAAACGUCAGCCUCCAAAUUUAAAUCCCCAAAAAAAAACGCAACCCUCUGUAUCCCCAUUUCAUCCCCAUGUCACAUUAAGAGAUCGCAAAAUCAAUCACGACCCCCGAUGCCAAGUCAGUCGAAGAGAAACAAAGAGCAGGAAAAAAAAUUGUUUUUUAUGAACGAAAAAUAUAACCUAAAAAUUGUUACGUCGUAAAGACAAAAUAGUUUGCACCCUACCUCAUCCAC